UACAGAGGGGGCAAGCGUUGUUCGGAAUUACUGGGCGUAAAGGGCGCGUAGGCGGUUUGCUAAGUUGGAUGUGAAAACUCUGGGCUUAACCCAGAGCCUGCAUCCAAAACUGGCAAACUUGAGUACUGGAGGGGAAAGCGGAAUUCCUGGUGUAGCGGUGAAAUGCGUAGAUAUCAGGAGGAACACCUAUGGCGAAGGCAGCACUCUGGUACAUGAUUGACGCUGAGACGCGAAAGCGUGGGGAGCAAACAGG
rnacentral:rRNA from 1 species